rnacentral:rRNA from 1 species
GCAUACGAUCUAUGGAUGAAAGCGGGGGAUCGCAAGACCUCGCGCGAUUGGAGCGGCCGAUAUCAGAUUAGCUAGUUGGUGGGGUAAAAGCCCACCAAGGCGACGAUCUGUAGCUGGUCUGAGAGGACGACCAGCCACACUGGAACUGAGACACGGUCCAGACUCCUACGGGAGGCAGCAGUGGGGAAUUUUGGACAAUGGGCGCAAGCCUGAUCCAGCAAUGCCGCGUGCAGGACGAAGGCCUUCGGGUUGUAAACUGCUUUUGUACGGAACGAAACGGUCCUUUCUAAUAAAGAGGGCUAAUGACGGUACCGUAAGAAUAAGCACCGGCUAACUACGUGCCAGCAGCCGCGGUAAUACGUAGGGUGCGAGCGUUAAUCGGAAUUACUGGGCGUAAAGCGUGCGCAGGCGGUUAUAUAAGACAGACGUGAAAUCCCCGGGCUCAACCUGGGACCUGCAUUUGUGACUGUAUAGCUAGAGUACGGUAGAGGGGGAUGGAAUUCCGCGUGUAGCAGUGAAAUGCGUAGAUAUGCGGAGGAACACCGAUGGCGAAGGCAAUCCCCUGGACCUGUACUGACGCUCAUGCACGAAAGCGUGGGGAGCAAACAGGAUUAGAUACCCUGGUAGUCCACGCCCUAAACGAUGUCAACUGGUUGUUGGGUCUUCACUGACUCAGUAACGAAGCUAACGCGUGAAGUUGACCGCCUGGGGAGUACGGCCGCAAGGUUGAAACUCAGAGGAAUUGACGGGGACCCGCACAAGCGGUGGAUGAUGUGGUUUAAUUCGAUGCAACGCGAAAAACCUUACCCACCUUUGACAUGUACGGAAUUUGCCAGAGAUGGCUUAGUGCUCGAAAGAGAACCGUAACACAGGUGCUGCAUGGCUGUCGUCAGCUCGUGUCGUGAGAUGUUGGGUUAAGUCCCGCAACGAGCGCAACCCUCGUCAUUAGUUGCUACAUUUAGUUGGGCACUCUAAUGAGACUGCCGGUGACAAACCGGAGGAAGGUGGGGAUGACGUCAAGUCCUCAUGGCCCUUAUAGGUGGGGCUACACACGUCAUACAAUGGCUGGUACAAAGGGUUGCCAACCCGCGAGGGGGAGCUAAUCCCACAAAGCCAGUCGUAGUCCGGAUCGUAGUCUGCAACUCGACUACGUGAAGUCGGAAUCGCUAGUAAUCGUGGAUCAGAAUGUCACGGUGAAUACGUUCCCGGGUCUUG